UCUGCAGGAUUGUGUGUAUCGGCUGUACGCUUUUAUCUGUGCGUUUCUUGCUGAAAGUGUUUCCUGCUAUAUCAAUUUGGGGAAAGUGGGCAGUUAAGUUAAACUUGCUUAUUGUUUUUCUUAACAAUCAUUUUCCUCUCAUGU